ACUUCUUCUUUCCUCCUUCUUUCUCCUUCUUUUUCUCUUCUUUCACCUCCUUUUUCUCAGGUUCAGGAACAGAAGGUGGUGGUUGAAUUGGUUGAUUCGAUUUGAGAUAGAUCCUCUUUUCAUGAAAUCCGACUGGGUCUGUCAUUUUGGGAAGAUUUUUCUAAUUCAAAAAAGUUCAAGCGAAAUCUAAAAAGAAAC
rnacentral:ribozyme from 13 species